AUCACAGACAAAAUACAGUAGAAUUGAGAAAGAGUUCAAGAAAGGGUGGACAGCAUUUGUAGCAACUCUGUGAGAGAUAUCUGAAUAUUCAAGGACUUCUCAAGCUGGCAAACAAGCUGGAAGUGCUACAGAAGUCUGCAAAACCAGUAUACUUCCAUGCAUGAGCUUUUGUUGGUAACAUAAGGUAUGUGGAUGGAUCAUUAAAUGAUAACGAGAGAACUUAAAGAAACCUAAGAAACUUGGUGACUUAUGAAAAUUGCAGGCAGAUAACUAGCUUUUACUUAUUUGAACUACAAAAACUUCUUUAUUGUUUUGUUGAUUAUGCUUGCCACUUACAUUUGAGUCUCAUUUUAACUAUAAUUUAUUGUUCCUUUCUGGAUUAUGGUGCUGCUACUUAGACUGGUAAGCAAAGAAACUUGUUGAAAACCAGAAAGAUCACUGGAAUCAUUAGGUUUCAUAGGUGUUAACAACACAAAUAAAGUCACUGUUCCUGAUAGCUUACCUUUGCUUCAAUAGUGCACUAUAAUUUAUGUAAUAAUAUUUUACUACUGUGCAUACAAAAAAUAAUUAUUGUAUCUAUAAAUGAAAUCUGAAAGUAAACAAGUAUUAUUUAAAACUUAUUUAGUACUUAAUUAAACUUUUUUCUUGUUUGCCUAGAAUACAAUCUGUAUACAAUUAUACAUCAAUAUUUCAUAAAAUGUAAUUAUGCUGAGAACUGAAACAGUGCAUUAUUACUAACUAAAAUCUAUCCGCAGCACAAAAUAAAAACACAUACAAAUAUUUUACAAAAAUAUGCAAAUGUUAUUAUAAUCUUUCUGACUCAAAAAUUUCAUUUCUGUAAAUUCCGUAUUUCUCCAUAUUCUGUAUUUCUUCAUAAACUGGGAAAGGAGGGGUUGGGUGGGAGGGGAGGGGAAAGGACAAAAAAAAAAAAUUAAGUUCAGCAGCACAUAUCUAUACUGUAAAUGCCUAAAGUAAAACUUAAUGAAGUAUAUGUCAUGUCAGAAACAGGAAUGGACAAGAACUCCUUUAGAAAAAGAUACCUUGCCUUUACGUAAAGACCAAAGAACAAAGAAUUCAGCAUAUGUCUUGAGCAGUUACAUCGUGGCUAACCACAGUACAAACAGUUUUAGUAUUCCCAUUUUAGUGGUCUUCAUAAUUUUACAUGGUUGGGAUUAUGCCUUGUCAGCAGUUUACAAGCUGGUUCAGUUUAGUUCCGUGACUAAUGGGGAGGGGGGACCCACGGAUCCAUGCCCUGGGAAAGGGGAAACAGAAAAAGGGGAAAGGGUACAGAGAUGGGCCUAAAAACUAAACAGCAGCAACAAUCUGAGGAGGAAAGCUAAUUUACUAGAAAAAAUAUAAGAAUGCAAGAUAACACAAUAUAAUACAAUAUAAUUGGAAUUGGAGCUAAUAAAUCAAAUAAAAGGAGAGAGAGAGUGUCCAAAAAACUGAAGGCCUUACUCUAAUGCUGAAGGCAAGACAAGCACACACACUGCUGGGACGAGCAGAAAGAGAAAAGAGACAUCUCUUGACCCACGAACGGUUUUGUCUUUCCCUCUGAAUGGAAAAUGAAAAUGGAAAUGCAAAGUCCCCUGGGAGCAUAGAACAUGGCAAUAUAAGCAAAUGAUUUUUCUCCAGUUUUUCUGGAGAAAGAAAAUGAUGCUACUGUUGACUGUUCCUCCUUUGUAGUUGUUAAGACAGCUAUAAGAAGACUGGUGCAGAAACCUGCUCAACAAAAGCCUGUAGUCAUGUUGUUGAAGUGAUACGAGAAUGUCAUUUAUAGGUUAGUGUCUAUAAGUUAAGCCUGAAAUUAAGUUUCUGGAAACUUAGACUGAGCACCAAAACUGAACUUCUUGACAGAGAGAUGCAUGAACAUAUAUUCCUUAUGAAAACAAACAAACAAACAAACACAUGAAUUUCUCUUAAUUUAGAACUAUUAAUAUUAGACAUCAAAAAUAAAUAAAAAUUGUUGUUAGUGAUUAAUAUUGCUCUUACAGUGAGACUGGUGAAUUAAUUUAGUGGAAACUUUCUAUUUGUUAUUUCUAGAAAAACAGUUAUUUCAUUAAAAAAAAAAAAAAUCUGUAUGAAGAGUGUAACUUUUACAAAUAGAUUUUCCUUUCUGAAGUGUUCACACACGCACAAAGCCUUGUUUAGCUAUUAACCUUUUUUAAUCCACUGCAUGUGUACCAACAUAAAACAUAAGCCAUUCUGUGAUUCUAUGAAAAUAUCAAAAUCUUAGCAUUGAAGCAUGGAAGCAUAGAAUGCUUUGGGUUGAAAGGAGCUUCAAGAUCAUCUAGUUCCCACUCCACUGCCAUGGGAAGUCUACUGUCUGUUUGCCCAAAGCAUCACGCAACCUAGCCAUGAGCACUUUUGAACAGGACAUCCACAACUCUGUUCCAGUGCAGAAGAGUAAAUAAUUUCAUUUGAUAUCUAAUGUAACAGUUUAAAACCAAAAGAGGAAUGAUUUAGAUUAGAUGUUAUGGGGAGAAUUUUUACUGAAGGUGGUGAGGUUGUGGAAUAGGCUGCCCAGAAAAGUUGUGGAUGCUCCAUUCCUGGAGGUGCUCAAGACCAGGGCAGAUGAGACCCUGGGCAACUUGAUCCAGUGCCUGAGAUAGUGCUGGCAACCCUGCCCAUAGCUGGAACUAGAUGCUCUUUAAAUUUUCUUCCAACCCAAGCCAAACUAUGAUUCUAUAACAAUAAAAAUCUACCUUCCUAAAUUUAAAGCUGUUACCCCAAGUCCACUAACUACACACCCCAUCUAUCUUGUAGGUCCCCUUUAAGUACUGGGAGGUUAAAAUGAGGUCUCCUCAGAGCUUUUUCUUCUCUGGGCUGAACAACCACAACUCUCUCUCCCUUAACAGGGGAGCUGCUCCAACCCUCCAAUCAUCUUUGUAGUCCUCCUCUGGACCCACUCUAAUAGGCAUCUGUAUUUCUUUUGCUGUGGCCACCAGAGUGGAGUGAAGCACUCCAGGUGAGGUCUUGUCAGAGCAGAGGGGAAGAAUGACUUCCCUCAAGUCCACUCACCAUGUUUCUUAUGAUGCAGCCUGGGUUGUGAUUAUCUUUCAGGGCUGUAAUCAUGCACUGUUAGAUCAAGUUCACAUUUUCUUCCAUGAAUAGGCCCAAAUAUUUCUCCUCAGGGCUGUUUUCAAUCCAUUCAUUCCCCAUUCUGUAUUCAUGUUUGGGAUUUCCUCAACUCAGGUGCAGGAAAGUGUGGUUAAGUGUAAUGGUACAUAACAGGUUAAAUAGAAUUGAUUAAUUGAUUUUAAACUUGAAAACAAGUGGGUGGGAAAAAUGGAUAUAAAAAUUACUUUCAAAGUACAUGGAAAACAUAUUUUUUUAAACAGCUUCAUUUUUCAUCUUCAUGGAAAACAUCAAAAAGGAGUUACUGCUGCAGUGAAAGAGAUUUGGUUUUCUCUUCUCAUGCUCACACACAAUAAAUUACCUUCUAAAACAUCUGCUCUGCCUUUGAAAUUUUGACAGGAAUGCUCUGAUAAGUUGUGAUUUUAUCUCAUAAACAUGCAUACUCUUUCUGUACGGUUUUUGGUUUGUUCACUUUAGUUACUAUGGAAUUCAAUUAGGUGUGGAAAAAUUCAGCAGAUGUCAUGUAUUUAAAACUGCUGUGAAUCUGUAUUUCAAAACACUGAGACUCAGACAAAUAUUAAGUUUUCUUUUUAGAGAAAUUCCUUUGAUAUAAGUGAAAAUCAGGAUUAUCUGCUCAUACUGCCAUAUCAUCAUGUCUGUCACGGAAGCAUUACAAGAUUAUGAAAAUACAUUUCUAUUUGUGCUAAGUAAUGUAAGGUGUUGUUACAGUUCAGUUUUUCAAUGCAAUAUAAAUUGCAAUAUUUAAUCAGUUUGGAAAUAUGUCUCAAUUUUAGCUUGUAAUUAAUACAAUUCAAUUUAAUUAAUAAUCACUACAUUGAUAUAUUUGUCUUAAAUUUGGAUGAUGUGAUACAUACGCAUUUCCUAGAGAGAUGCUUAACAACAGCUGAAUAAAGUAAUAAAUACCAGUAUUAUGAGAAAAGUGUCAUUAAAAAAUUCACAUAUAAAGGUUUAUUCCUUGGCACUGUCAACAGUAGAGAGAUGCUCUUUUUGUCUAAUAGUUUUUUCCAUAUUCCUUAGCUCUGAGAUGUCAUACAGAUAUUUCCAUGUAGGAGGGAGUGCAAGUCAACAGCUAAUGCAGAGUAUUUUCAGAAUUUUUCUUCAUUUCCGAGGCUGAGCCCUCUCAGAAGGCACGUGAACAGCCCAUCUGCUGGCCUUCAAGCAGAUACCCCUGUGUCUGGACUUUCUAGAUAUCACAGUAGACAGUAAGUCUGUUCCAUACUUAUUACAGAUACUGAUCUAACAAGAAACUCUACUUAUGGUUAAACCUGAUGAUGUAAGCACAGACUCUUCUCAGCAAUUUUAAACAGUCAAAUAGUUAAUUUAAACUUUUUGAAAUGUAACAUGAAAUCUCGUACAACAAUACAGAGACUAGUCUCAGGAGACAGUAGAUGUAUCUAAAAGGAUGAAUUUAGUGGUUGCUGCUUAAAUUCAUACUGCUUUACUGUGACUCAACUCUGUUACAUGCAGGAGUGCUGAGCUCUCUGUGGGUGCAGAUUAGGAAGCAUAAACUGAAAAUCUGAAAGUUGAGAACUUUAUUUUUACAUUGUAAGACAAAUAAAUGUGCUUAAAUUCUGAGUCUUGUAUAAUGUGUUUACAAAGAAGCAGAACUGUUUUCUGUUGGCUACAUUUGGCUAAUCAAAAGGCUUCUUGUAAACAGAAUUUGUCUUAAAAAUAAUAGUCCAAAGAGAUAAAGUGAUUAAAAAUGUAAGGUUUCUUUUGUCAGGGAAAAAAAAAAAAUUAGUUUUGAAAAUAAAGCUUAAAACAGCACUAUUGCACUUCCUUUACUUUCAUCUUGCUGACAACUGAUUUGCUAUAUGAAAGAAUAUCACAGAGACAGCUAAUAGCAUUGGUAAAAGGUCAUUGUUCUGAAAUGUAAAUAAUGUGUGUCUGGUAUCUGGUGCAUCUAAUAGAACUAUUUAAUUGCAUGUCUUUCAGCUUUCCAGUUGUUCACAUCUAGCCACUGCUGCUACACAACAUUGCGCUCUACCAUGAAAGACUGUAAAUACAAUGCAAUUUUAUUUUUGCCUUCAUAAACCCUGUUUCUUUUCUUUUUUUUUUGAAAAAAAAAAUCUAAUGAUAAAAGAUAAAAAUGUAAAGAAAUUGACUUCAGUCAAUCUUCAUGUAUUAUUAUUCAAUAGUCUUCUGUGCAUAUGGAGUAUUUAGAUACUGUUUUAUUAGCUACCUUGGGCAGAGAAAACCUGGUUUAAAAUGUUGAAAAUAAUAGGUUUCAGAGUGCAGUUAAAGAUAAAUAUGAGAUUAGGAUACCUUCUGUGAGGUGACAAGCACCUGCCAUCAUAUCAGUUAUAGACAUAUACAUUAUUUAGGCUGAGAUAGAAAAUAGUAAGUACUCCAGAGUUGGACUGAUUUCUUCAAAUUCACUUUUAUAGAUAUCUAUAUAUCUAUAAAAUAUAUCGGUAAUUUCUAUAUAUAUCAAUUAUACAGAUAAAUAUAUCAUAUAUUAUAUAGAAUAUAGAAUAUCUAUUAUAUAGAAAUAAUAUAUUUAUAUGUCUGAUUAUAUAAUAUUAUAUAUUAAAUAGAUACUUAUAUUACUAUAGAUUUAAGUGAUUUUUUUAAUUUAAUGUUUUCUUGUUAAGAUAAUUUUAUUAAUCAAAAAUGAUUAUUUUCUUGAUAAACUGAGAUCUAUAUAGAUAGAUAUAAACAUACAUAUAUAGAGAUAGAUGAUAUAGAUACAUAGAUAGAAGUAUAGAUGGUACAGUUGUUAUAGAUACUGAUAGUAGUGACAAUGAUUGUCUCCAACAGUCCAAUACUACUUUAAAUAUGCUGAAAAUAAAUGCAGCUAUUUUUGUUCUGCUGUGUUUUACAAAUAUUUAUAAUUAGCUUACUAUAUUGUAUGCCUAUAUGUGCUCACUAGCGAUAUAGACAUAUUUCAGCUUGAACCUUACUAGUCUUACUAGCAAAAUGAGGUUUAAAUACUACCUAUAUUCAUUACUUUUCAUAUAUUUAUUGCAUUUCAAAGAAAUAAAUCUAAAAAUGGUAAAGAAACAUGGUCAAAUUCCAUCUAAUAAGCAUGCAUUAAGUACAUAUUUAAGCAGUUCUACAAAUUUGGAAUACAGUAUUUUGCUUCUGUAUAUAUUUUGAAAGAUACUUGUUAAUUUUGGUUUGUUUGUUUAUUUGUUUGUUUGUUUUCUCCUCUCAUAAUGUAAUAUUUAAAGACAAAAAAUGUUUGGUUGGUUUUGAUGAUACAGGAACCUUUUUUUGUUUCUUAUAGACAAAAUAUUUAAUUCUCAGUUUGACUAUAAUAUCUGAUAUCAAUCCAGCAAAUACUUUAUUAGGAUUCUGAGAUGGCUGACUGUAAUUUUAAUAGCUAUGUAAUGAGUACUCCUAUGCUAUUCUGAACAAAGACAAUUAUAACAUGAAGUUAGUGCUAUGAGAACGCGGACAAUAUGUGUCUUAGAAGAUAAAAAUCGUCAUGUCUUGAUAUUGGCUUCUGCAGUCUAUUUGUUAAUGAUUUUUCAGAUGGUAAAAAGUAACACAGUAAUUUCCAUAAAAUUAAAAAGUGUAAAAAAUGGAAUAAUGUAAACAGUGUUGUCAGCAGUAAUAAGGAAGUGACUGUCACUCUGUACUCAACACUGGUGAGGCCGCACCUUGAGUACUGUUUGGGCCCUUCAGUGUGUCCAGAGAAUGGAAAUGAAACUGGUGAGGUGUCUGAAGCACAAGUCUUAUAAGAAGUGGCUGGGGAAGCUGGAAUUGUUAAGUCUGGAGAAGAGAAGGCUCAGCGGAGACCUUAUCGUUCUCUACAACUAUUUGAAGGGAGAAUGUGGAGAGGUGGGGGUUGGUCUCUUCUCCCAAGUAAUUAGAGAUAGGACUGGAAGGAAUGGCCUCAGUUGUCACCAGAGGAAAUUCAGGUUGGGCAUUAGGAAAUUUAUUCUCUGAGAGAGUGGGCAAUGUUGGAAUGGGCUUCCCAGGAGUCACUGUCCCUGGAGGUGUUCAAAUAUUUGUGGUAGGUGGGCGACUGGACUGGUUGAUCUUGAUGUCUUUUCCAACUUUGGUGAUUCUAUGAUUCUAGGAUUUUAGGAUUCUAUUUAAGUGCCAUAAGGUAAAAUUAUGAGUAUUACGUUGUCUGCAAAUAAAAUGAGUUUUGUGUCAGCAUAGUGCAUAUACUUCAGUGCAUUUUGCUAAGCUCUUUGAAACAGGCCAAAUAAACAAUAAAAUGUAUGGAUAAGUGCUCUGACUACUUAAGUGCUCAUACUAUUGCAGGAAUUUUGUUUCUUAAUAUGAACCUAACACAAGAAAUGAUGUUUAUUAAUUUAAUCACAUUUCCUGAAACUAGAUCCUUUAAUUUCAUAUAAAUCAUGAAGGAAAAUAAUGACUACACUGAGGGAAAACAAACAAACAAACAAACAAACAUUAUUUUGAAAGAGUUUUUAGACUUGAGGAAAAAAAAUUGUAAGGAAAAUUAGACUAUUUGUGACUGAAAGUGAAAUACCAAUGCAGGCAAAACAUAUAGUAUCAAUAUUUUUACAACAGUGAAAUAAAGGAACAGUGUUGUUUUUGACACACACUGAGAAAUACAAUUGUAGUUUUGUUUAGCAUAACCUGUCUGGAUGUAUGCUGACAAUUCACACCUCUAUCACUGACAUACAAAAUCUAAUCCUUUGCGUAGUACUUAGUUACGUAUUACUGAUAUUGUUUCAAUCAGAAAUAUUCUACAUACAUCAUAUUUUGGGUAAUUUCAUUAAGUACAGUUAUAACUAUUAUCUGAUCAAAUUAUAUAAUACAAUUAAAAAAAAAAAAUAGACCGUUGCAUAGUGCUAGAAAAAAUACAACAUAUAAUUGUAGCAUUCUCUGUGUGAUGUAUGUAAUACAAAUGCACAUGUACACAGAGUGCGUUAAAAAUUAUGCCAUGUUUAAUGUUUUCCUACCACGUUCACUUCUCAAUUUAUGCCCUCAAUUAAAUAUUUUCCUUUUCCUAUCUAAACAACACUUAUUAACCUUUUUAAUUUUGUUAGCAAUAAAAUGCAGUUUUUGCUUAAAUUACUGUGAAAAAUGAUCAGAGAGAAGUGCAUAAUCUUUCUCCUUGCCACUCUUCCCCCCAAGAUAAUCAACCCUCUCCCCCCCAAAAUUGGAAACAAAUUAUAUAUUUCCUGGCAGCCAGUAAGAUUCUUUAUUGCCAGUACGUAAGAAAUAAUGAAAAGCCUUCCUAUUUCUGUAAUUCAAAUUCAUGAUAAUAGUUUUAGAGUAGAACAUGGUGUAAUUUAUUGUGAAUAUUAAAUGGAAUGGAAGUUUCAUGGGAUGUAAAUAAAACUGAGAUACUGGUAAUUUGCCUAGAGAAAUGAAUGCUAUUAUCAGUGGGUGACAUUUCUUAUGUAUGUAUUCUUAUACUUCACCAUGUUGACAAGAAUCAACAAUUGGCUUCCUCCCUUUCUGAAUAGAUAUCUGAAAUUCUAUAAAUUUACAGAGCAAGAUAUUGUAAAAUUGUGCAAUGAACUGUGUAAAAGUUGCCAUAUAAAUUUGUUUCUGAGAUUUUGUCUUUAAAAACUGUUUGAAAACAAGCGAACAUAAUCUUCUCUUGAAAAGACUUCCUGGCUAAUCACAGCACAAAUGAAGUAAGUGCUCAAAGGGAGCCCUUUUGUUUUAACUUUUAACAUAUUAGUUGGAGGAAAGAAGGCCACAGCAGAAAAAAAUAAAGAACAGUCCCAGUGAGCCAUACAACUUUAAAGAAAUAUCCAUAUCAGACUAGGCAGCUACUCCUAUUUAAAGUGCCAAAAAUGAAAAGCAAAGUUCAUAAAUUGAUUGUAUUAACAAGAAAACAGACAAACAAAAACCUCUUGUGAACAAUAUGGAUAUCUCAGUGGCUAAAACAUUUUAACAGCUGAGACUAUGGGUGUAGGUCCAUGAUGGGGUCUACUAUAAUGUGUAUAUUCAGUAUGGCGUAAUAAAUAUUUUCUUUCUUAGAAGAAAUUCAGGAUGAAACAUGCAUGAUAUAUGCAUAUUUCUCAGCUGUCCAGCUGAGAUAUAAUGCAUUGUGAUUUUAACUACCCUUCUAAAACUAUGUACUCACAGUAAGACAUUCCAUGUCUUAAAUUACAUACCAUUAAAUAGCUCUUCUUCUGAGGCCCAUAUAGUCUUCACUAUACUUCCAACCAAAAUUGCCAACUCUGAAGAAAAUAAACUAAUAGGUAAAUAUGUACAUUAAUUUGUAUAUACUGAACCUUUGGAUCUGCAUGGUAGACCCAGUGGAAACAUGUACUAAUGUAUGUACAAGGGUGAAAAUGCAGUAGGAGAUCCAACACUAGAAUAUAUGAUCAUGGUUUAGAAUUAGGGAUUCUUUCCUGGGACCAAUGGUCUAUUUGUAAUGAGUCUGAUGAAAUGCAAUGGCAAUUAAAAAAGGUAUUGAAAUCAAGGACUGAAUUACUAACAGGUGAGCACUGUCAUUCAACUGACAUAAAUAUAUAGUUCUGUGUAAAAAUCUAUGCUGUUAGGAUCAUUUACGUUAAAGUGGAAACAACAGCACAACUGAUACUGCAUAGGACCUCACUGUUAUUUAUAAGUUGACCUUGGAACAAAUGGAAUGUCUUCCUUAUAGAAUUUUGCUUCAUAGACAUGAAAUUAAAAUAAAAUAUUGAUAAAGUGUGUUAGAAAAAAAAGUUAUGUUUCUACUGCAAAAUGGGAAGGACUGAUAAUCAGUAAUCGAUAUGCUGUUUAGCCAACAAUAUAAGCAAAGAUUUCAGAAAGAACAUUGUUUGGAUUUUCUCUUUUAUAACAGAAACUGUCAACAGGUUUUUGUACCAGAUGGAGUGUAUGCAGCAUCCUAUUGGGCAAGCAGUCAAGAGGGAAUUGCAAUAAUCUAAUCUUGAAAUAACAAAAACAUGAAUGACAUUGCUGCAACACUGCAGAAGUUCUCUAAGUAGUAGGACAAUAACAUACAUUUUUAUGUUUUUGAAAAUAUGAGAAGAAAGCUAUCAUCUGGAAUAGUUUUCCAACUCUUUUCUUUUAUGAUAAAAAAUGUAGUUUAAUUAAAGUGAUUAGAAGAUUAAAAGUAGUGUAAAGAUGUCUGUCUAAUAUCUAUAUAUUAGACUGAGAAAAUGAUAAUGAAGAAAAAAAGAAAAAUUAGUUAUGUACACAGUAUUUCAUCAAUAUUCAUAUCUAUAAUGUCACACUACUGCUACAGCCAGAAAGUCAGGAAGAUAUAUAUGUAUUUUAAAUAACAGACAAAACACUGUACAUUCAUAUAUAACACAGAUAUAAGAUCAAAAUAGUAACUUUGAGUUAUGCUUUGCUAUUUAAAUAUGGCAGUCUAACAAUGUGUCUUCCAGGAGUGCGUGGAAUUCCUGAUACUCUUGAAUCAUAUCUUCCAGUCCCAGAUGGCUGCCUCUGACACUGUAGGUCUUCUCAAAUGAAAAAAUGUUAGUGUGUAAGCAACUGAAUUAAAAUAUGAAUAUAUUCAAGUUUGUGAAUUUGAGAGUGUUGCAUGUAAACUGCCUAUACAGAAUGUAUCUUUACAAGGACUUCAGUAGACAGCCGAGUGCAAUUACACUAUAGAUAUGAAAAUGCAGAAAAUUCUUCUGGACCAUAGGAUUUUCGUCCAGUCCAUCCUUCUUCACCAUUGGCUGAAGACAUUCUGAAGGUUUCAGAGAACAUUCUAUUUUUGCACAGAAUGCAUCAGUUUUUAAGAUUAUUUUGUACAUUUUAGACUUGUUUUGUACCUAAAGUAGUCCAAAUAAAAGUUCAUUCACCCUACUUAUAUUUUUACAUUUGAAAAUUGUGAGACUAGAUGUACAACAGAAUAUAUCCUUUCUUAAGAGGAGAUUUAAAUUUAAAAUUAACUUAAAGUAUACUGAGGAAAAAGAAAAUAUUUCUUGCAUAUUAGUUCAUACAUGUUAUAUUGAAGUCUAUGUGUCUUGGUUUGGUUGAUUUGUUUGUUUUGAUUUCUUGUCUGGUCAACAUACUUCUCCUUAAACAGUUUCCUUUCCAGGCAACAUUCUACUUCUCUUUCUUAUAGUGUUCUAGGAAAAUUCAUUUUAUUAUAAGAGUGGUAAAAUAAAUUUUAGCACUCCCUAGUUUCCCUUAGUAUAUCCUUAUUAGAAUGGAAAAUACUGAAGGGGAAUAACUUAGAAUUACUCUCUUGAAAAGUAGUUUAGAUGCAAGGAUGUACCAUCCCUAACAAAUAUUAGUAUGAAACUAACAUUGGAAAACUAUAAAAACUAUGAAGAACUAAAACAGAAAGCUAAAGGAAAAAAUGUAACUAUGAUGUAAUUAAAGUAUAUGUUUUAAAUAUAUUCUGUUCAGAAAUAGGAUAUGUCUGUGACACAGAAGAAUAUGCAUAGUUUUUGUCUUAACAGAAUGUCUUGGUAAGAGAAUCUUGAUUCUAACUUGCCUAGUUCGUCAAAAACAAGCAUUAUUAAUAAAGUUCACAAGGCCUUGGCCAACAAUUUAAAUCUUUCUUACAUAAUAUAUAUGCAGGCAAUAUGCAGUCAAUAUCCAAUACAUGAAUUUGAGUAUGUGUGUUUCUUCUUAAAGUGGUCCACAAUGGCACUGUAUGGGAACUGCAUAAUACUACUAAAGGGAAUUGCAGCUACUUUUACCACACCUUUUUUGCUAUUAUGUGGAUAUGUAGAGAGUAGAAAAAAGAUCAAGACCAUUCCUGGAAGUGCUCUUCCUAGAGGUGUUAUAAAAAUAAAUGCCAUAGUUUCAGAAAAAAAUCCUGUAUCUAUUAUGAGAACUGUUUGAAAAAUGCAGAAUAUUCUCCAUCAUGAAUAGAAGAAUGAAAACCAGUGUAUGAAGACAGAUAAUCGAGCAUAACAUCAAAUCAGAAUAACUGAAAAUCUAACAGUGUGUUGUGGAGAUAGAUAAGGAAUUAUCUAUGAAUACAUUCUUGGAAUAAAUAAAUUUUAAACCACCAGAUAAACAACAUCAGUGUAACAACUGUAUAUGGCAGUGAUAGGACACCUUCACAAGAUUUCUGCAGACUACAUUGGUAUCUGUUAUUUGACAUUUUCUGCUCCUAGAACUGUUUGCUGUUGAAAUAGAUAGCAACAUUUAUAUCUCAAUUUACUUCCCAACAGUUAUGAUUAGUUUCUUGGUUUGUCUUUCAACUAUUUUCCUCUGAGGGAAAAUAAAUAAAUAAAUAAAUAAAUAUAUUAAUUAUAUCUCCUUAGAAAUAUUUUUUUCCUAUCAAUUCUACAUUUAAUGGCUUUUAAAUAUUACAGUUGUUUAGAUUUACAUUCAGAAUUUCAUUCUAGAAAAGGUUAUUAGGGCCUAAUAUUCACAGUUUCAGAGAACCAGAUGAAAAUACCUUAUGGGGUGAUAAGAAUAGUAGUUUGCACUUUUCAUUCUCAGAUGAGCUUGCAAAUGCUAUUAAGUUUCACAGUACUGUGAAAUGAAUACUGUACACCCUUUUUGAAGAUAAGGAACACAGAGUAAGUGGCAGAAAACAGAUGACACAAAAAUUUCAUAAUGAAAUCAGAAACAAGAUACAAAGUAAAACUUGGUAUAAAAGGCUUCAUCUCCAUUGAUUUCCAGCAUAGCUAUUAUAAUUACAACAGCUGUGUAUUGUUUCACAGUUACUCUGUUAGAUUUCUGUUCAUUUGUCACAAGUCAACAUUACUACCCACCGUGAACUCAGAUGGUUAAGGCCUUGUAGAAAAUUAAAAUGAGUAUGAUGAUAUAUUUACAAAAUAAUAUAUUGAUUAUAAAAACAUCCAGAUUAUGAAACCUGAAAUGGCCAAAUGAAUCUAUGAAACUUUGAAGUGAAGACUGCAAAACUUCUAAGUCUUCAUCUUCCUUCCACUGAAGGCAACAAAAUUCUUCUUUCCUCAAAGAGAAGAAAACUGCUUCAUUUGGUAGUAGUUUAUCAUGGAUGAAAUUUAAUGCCCAAUUAAAUUUACAGUAAGAUGCUAUGGAAGAAACAACAACAACAAAAUUAAUAAUAAUAAUAAUAAACAGUUGGAGGCUUUUUUUAUGCAGAUGAAUAAAAUCUUGGACUUUAGUUCUAUUUAUUCCACCUAGAUGAGGAAUGUCUGAGACUAGUGACAUUUUUAGCUGCAUACCCUGUGUAUUACAGCUACAAAGUAUACCUUGAUUCUCUGAAUUCAGUAGGACAAAAUAAUGGAAAGAUGAGCAGAUGAUAGAAGGGGGUUGAUGCACAGUUAUUGUAGAGGAAUAGUGGAUAGAAACAUGGCAAAGAUAAGCAUUGAUCUCAGCUUUCCAAAAUAAAUCUGCAAAGUUGAGACAUGAAGCCACAGAAUCAAUGGAUAAAUUUGGCAUUGUGCUGAAUAUUUAAGAUACUCCUCUCUGGUCACUAGAAAACAUAUCAAUGAUUUUUCUCUUGCAUGCAUUCCCCAGGUAAGUGGGUACAUUCAUAUCUGAGUACAGUACAGUAAUUACAGAGAGAUAUCAGUUUACAUAUUCGUGUAAUGGAAACUCUUCCAGGCUGAGUUUGGAAUUUAAAUCAACAAUAAGAAAGAAGUAGGUGUUAAAUUAAGAUUGUUAUCCUUCCAAAAGUAGUAACAGAAGAAGAUUAAAAUAACACUGUGUUGAACACUGUGAUGAACACGGUCUUCCAAACUGACUCUCACAUGGCUCACUCAUAGCUGAAAAUAAUUAUGGGGAGACAGUCUUCUCCUUAUUUUAGGACUGUGAAAUUCUCCAGGAAUUGUUUAAAGAGAAGAAUUAAUACAUCAGAGGAAACUGUAAACAUGGUCUGGGUAAUCUCUUCCCACAAAACUGAAAAUUGCGCCUCCUUAUCUUAUACCAAGAAAUGUGUAUUUUUUUGUUCCUCAGAAAUAGACUAUCAGAACACCUCGUUUGCUAGAGAGAUCAAGGCUUCAAGAAAUCAAGACAAUGGCUUGCUAGAGCAUGUCAUAUUAAUUCAAAACUCCAGAGAGGAAGUACUUCAAUUUAGAGUAUUCAAGGAUAAUAAGACCUCUUGGCUAAGACAGUGAUCCAAAGAAAAAAAGAGAAAGACAUACUGAGAUGGAUACUGUAAAGUUGUUCUAAAGCGUUAGUGUUUGUUAAUUCAGAUUUACUCAUAGUACAUAUCUGGGGCUCCAUACAUACACUAAAAUGUGUAUAAAAUAAUUAAAAAUAAAUAAAUAAACAAAAGAAAGUAUGAAAAGUUCAUGAAUUAUCUUCUCUUUUACUUUUUUAUCUACUGCAGUGGUACAGUUUCCACUGAAACAAUAUGUCCUCAGUCCAACCAUAGGUAACUCUACCCAACUUUCCAAACAGUCCUGACAAUUGAAUGAAGGAAAGCUUCAACAAAUAGAUGAGCUUCGCAACAAGUCUUUUAGGUCCUCAAAUAUUGUCUAUAGUGAAAGUAAGAUCCCUCAUGAAGGACAUCUUAUUUCAAGUGGGAAGAAGUUUCAGUUCAAGUAAUCCUGAAUGUCAUGGUAACGGGAGAAUAAAGGGAAAGAGAAGAAUUCUAAAUUGAGACUUAAUUCUAUAGCUGUCACUCACAACUGCACAACUUGUGCUCUGUGGCUUCUGGGAAUUCAGUGGACUCUGAAAGAAUGAUAUCAAAGAAAAAAUAAAAAAGAAAGAAAUUGAGACAUCCCUUUACUAGCAAAAGUCAAAGAUUUUGAGAUCUGGCAGUGAGUGUUCAGGUGUCAUCCAUCGAAUGACAAGAGACAAAUAUCCAGAUAUUUUAGCUGCUAAAUUUGACCAUUCCAGUUUGUCUUGUAGUCCCAAGAAUAGAGUCAGGGCAGACUGUGAACAAUUCCUUGGACUAUCACUGCAUGAUGAUUGCUAGUACUGAUUUAAAUGUUUACUUCAUUCUUAUGUGUUUUCUCAUUGUGUUUUUUGUUUGUUUGCUUGUUCUUUUUUUUUUGUUUGUUUGUUUGUUUUCUAUAUAUAAUUAUUUGAACAGUUCCAGAAAAUCUCAAUUUGAAAAACUGGCAAUAUUAUAUUUCAUCAUAUUGGGAAAGUCAUCACUGUCGGAUGAAUUACCAGUGACUGGAAAAAGGACAACAGCAUUUUUUAAGAAGGCACUCUGGUUUGACUCAGCAGGCAACUAAGCACCACAUAGUCAUUUGCUUGCUCCCCUCUCCCAGUAGGAUGGAGGAGAGAAUGAGGGGAAAAAAACCAACAAAGUUAAACCUGUG
ensembl:lncRNA